GUCAAAAAAAAUCUAUAAGAUUAGUUUGGCAUGAUCCCUUUGAAAUGAACCCAUGCUGUCUCUGAUCUUAAAAUUUAUGUGACUUUAGAUGUUCAACAAUCCUAUCCUUUAACAUGGAUUACAUUGCUUUGCCCACUACUAAAGUAAGGCUUACUGGCGUAUAGUUGCAUGACUCCUCCCUAUUACCUUACUUGUGAACUGGCACAACAUUCGCAAAUUUCCAAUCUUUUGAGACAACUCCCGUUAACAAUG